AUGCUGGGCGCCGCGAGGAGGCAGCUCGGAUCCGGCCCCAUGCUGGGGCAGUUGCUGCGGAGGCUCCGCCCGGCGGCGGCGGCGUCCACGGAGGCGGCAAGGGGGUACUCCUCCGCGGCCAAGGAGAUCACCGUACGUGACGCGUUGAACUCUGCCCUAGAUGAAGAAAUGUCUGCUGAUCCUUCUGUCUUUUUGAUGGGUGAAGAGGUUGGAGAAUAUCAAGGUGCAUACAAGAUUACGAAGGGCUUGCUUGACAAGUAUGGUCCUGAUAGGGUUCUUGAUACCCCAAUCACUGAGGCUGGUUUUACAGGCAUUGGUGUUGGUGCAGCCUAUCAAGGUCUUCGGCCAGUUAUAGAGUUCAUGACAUUUAAUUUCUCAAUGCAGGCAAUCGAUCAUAUCAUCAACUCAGCUGCUAAGUCAAACUACAUGUCAGCUGGUCAGAUAAAUGUCCCAAUUGUUUUCAGAGGACCAAAUGGUGCUGCUGCUGGAGUUGGUGCUCAACACUCACAGUGUUAUGCAGCUUGGUUUGCGCAUGUUCCAGGACUUAAGGUUCUGGCUCCAUAUUCUUCAGAAGAUGCCAGAGGCUUGCUAAAAGCUGCAAUUAGGGAUCCUGAUCCCGUUGUUUUUCUGGAAAAUGAAUUACUCUAUGGAGAGUCGUUCCCUGUUUCUGAUGAAGUGCUUGAUUCUAGUUUUGCUCUGCCGAUUGGCAAAGCUAAGAUAGAACGCGAGGGUAAAGAUGUUACGAUUACUGCAUUCUCCAAGAUGGUCGGCUAUGCUCUUCAGGCUGCUGAGAUACUGUCCAAGGAAGGAAUCAGUGCUGAGGUGAUCAACCUUCGAUCAAUUAGGCCACUGGAUAGAGCCGCCAUAAAUGCAUCCGUUAGGAAAACAAAUAGAUUGGUGACUCUUGAAGAAGGCUUCCCCCAGCAUGGUGUUGGUGCUGAGAUAUGCAUGUCUGUUGUAGAAGAAAGCUUUGAGUAUCUUGAUGCUCCAAUUGAGAGGAUUGCUGGAGCUGAUGUACCCAUGCCCUAUGCUGCCAACCUUGAGAGAUUGGCUGUUCCACAGAUCGAGGAUAUCGUCCGAGCGGCCAGGCGAGCCUGCUACAGAGCGUUGCCCAUGACGGCAACUGCGUGA
rnacentral:rRNA from 1 species